UACGUAGGGUGCAAGCGUUAAUCGGAAUUACUGGGCGUAAAGCGUGCGCAGGCGGUUUUGUAAGCCAGAUGUGAAAUCCCCGGGCUUAACCUGGGAAUGGCAUUUGGGACUGCAAGGCUCGAGUGCGGCAGAGGAGACUGGAAUUCCAGGUGUAGCGGUGAAAUGCGUAGAUAUCUGGAGGAAUACCGGUGGCGGAAGGCGGCGAUC
rnacentral:rRNA from 1 species